rnacentral:tRNA from 1 species
GCCGAGGUAGCUCAGUUGGUAGAGCAAUGCUUUCGUAAAGCAGAGGUCGUGGGUUCAACUCCCACCUUCGGCU